AGAGUUUGAUCCUGGCUCAGGACGAACGUUGGCGGCGUGCUUAAUACAUGCAAGUCAACUGAAGCAUCGGUAGCAAUACUGGUGUGGAGGUGGCGCACGGGUGAGUAACACGUAGGUAAUCUACCUAUAGGACUGACAUAACUCCGGGAAACCGGUGCUAAUAUCAGAUGAUGCAGCGGCUCGACAUCGAGACAGUUGUUAAACCUUCGGGGCCUAUAGAUGAGCCUGCGUCUGAUUAGCUAGUUGGCGGAGUAACAGCCCACCAAGGCAACGAUCAGUAGCUGGUCUGAGAGGAUGAUCAGCCACACUGGGACUGAGACACGGCCCAGACUCCUACGGAAGGCAGCAGUGGGGAAUAUUGGACAAUGGGCGGAAGCCUGAUCCAGCAAUACCGCGUGUGUGAAGAAGGCCUUAGGGUUGUAAAGCACUUUCAAUUGGAAGGAAAACCUCGUGGCUAAUAUCCACGAGCUUGACAUUACCUUUAGAAGAAGCACCGGCUAACUCCGUGCCAGCAGCCGCGGUAAUACGGAGGGUGCAAGCGUUAAUCGGAAUUACUGGGCGUAAAGCGUGCGUAGGCGGCUCGUUAAGUCAGAUGUGAAAGCCCUGGGCUCAACCUGGGAACUGCAUUUGAAACUGGCGAGCUAGAGUUUGAGAGAGGUAAGUGGAAUUUCAGGUGUAGCGGUGAAAUGCGUAGAGAUCUGAAGGAACACCAGUGGCGAAGGCGACUUACUGGCUUAAAACUGACGCUGAGGUACGAAAGCGUGGGUAGCAAACAGGAUUAGAUACCCUGGUAGUCC
rnacentral:rRNA from 1 species